GUCCACGCUGUAAACGAUGGGCACUAGGUGUCCGGGGUAUUGACCCCCUGGGUGCCGCAGCUAACGCAUUAAGUGCCCCGCCUGGGGAGUACGGUCGCAAGAUUAAAACUCAAAGGAAUUGACGGGGGCCCGCACAAGCGGUGGAGCAUGUGGUUCAAUUCGACGCAACGCGAAGAACCUUACCUGGGCUAGACAACGGCGGACAACCCUAGAAAUAGGGUCUUCCCUUCGGGGACCGCCGGUUCAGGUGCUGCAUGGCUGUCGU
rnacentral:rRNA from 1 species